GCGGGAGUAGCUCAAUUGCAGAGCAGGUGGCGUCCUACCACCAGGUGCCGGUGCAAAUCCGGCCUCCCGCU
rnacentral:tRNA from 3 species